rnacentral:rRNA from 1 species
CGCGUAGGCGGCUCUGUUUGUCGCGUGUGAAAGCCCCGGGCUCAACCUGGGAGGUGCGCGCGAGACGGCGGGGCUGGAGUUCGGGAGAGGAGCGUGGAAUUCCCAGUGUAGAGGUGAAAUUCGUAGAUAUUGGGAAGAACACCGGUGGCGAAGGCGGCGCUCUGGACCGAGACUGACGCUGAGGCGCGAAAGCGUGGGGAGCAAACAGGAUUAGAUACCCUGGUAGUCCACGCUGUAAACGAUGUGUGCUAGACGUUGGGAGGCCUAGCCUCUCGGUGUCGCAGCCAACGCGGUAAGCACACCGCCGUGGGGAGUACGGCCGCAAGGUUAAA